rnacentral:tRNA from 2 species
AAUUAAUUAGUUUAUUUAAAAUUUGGUUCUGAAGAAACUGAGAUUAUUUAAUUA